rnacentral:tRNA from 1 species
GCGCCUGUGAUGGAACUGGUAGACAUGCGAGAUUUAGGUUCUCGUGCUUUGGCGUGGGGGUUCGAGUCCCUUCAGGCGCACCA